UGAGAGCGACCACAGCCCGGCAGGUCCCGAGGCGCUAGCUGGGACUCUGCCACGGAAAGUUCCCAGACCCCGGCCGCAGGAUGGGAAGGUCCCUUGGGGCUUCCUGGUACUAAAUGACCUGAGAGCAACACCGCCACAACCUGCGGGAAAAGGAGAGUCGUUUCCCCGACCCCGAGAUCUGCAGGAUUGAAAUGACAUGUUUUGAGGUCUUCAAGCUGACUCAUCAGAAUCCUGAAGCAUUUUUUAAAUGACGAAACAUAAGGCAGUAUUUAAGCCAGAUGUGUUGGUGGAAGCAAAACUUGGAUUUAGGAUAAUAAGUCCCCAGCAGGA